AUACUUACCUGGCAUCGAUAUUGGCAGCUCAAGAAGUGCUGGUAUCUUGUGGAAGGACCUAACAUUGCACAGCGUUAAGUUCUCCGCUGCGAACAGGAUUCGUCUUGUCUCGGAUGCAUCAUUUUUGAAUUCGUCCUUCGGGACUUC
rfam:Pneumocystis murina B123 supercont1.17, whole genome shotgun sequence.